rnacentral:tRNA from 1 species
GGAAGUGUGCCUGAAUUUAAAGGGUUACUUUGAUAGAGUAAAUUAUAGGGAAUAACCAACCCUCACCUCCU